rnacentral:lncRNA from 1 species
GUCAGGGCUGCUUCCGGCCGCAUCUUUAAAUUUGUUUUUCCCGGUGGGGCCUCGGGACUCCGGAGUAACGUCUUUCCCAGUGCCUUUCUUUACCUCUUCCAGGAGCGGAGUGAGGUGAAGACGAAUGGUCAGUGCCAACAAGGAUCACCAGGGAAUGAGGAGGAGGAAAAACACUGACUUAAUUGGGAUGCUAAGCACUGUGGCUGCACUUGUGCAGGGGUCUGCAGAUGGCCUUGCCACGAAACAAGAAUCCUCAGAAGCCCCCAGGAAGAUUGGGAACUACUGAGACAAUGCAGAUAGCUUUUGGACUUGAACUGGAACAUCAGCUCUCUUGGGUCUCCAGCCUGCUGGCCCACCCUGCAGAUUUUGGAUUUAUCAAUCUCCAUAAUCAUGUAAGUCAAUUCCUUAUAAUAGAUCUUUAUAUAUUCACAUUCUACUGGUUCUGUUUCUCUGAAGAACCCUGACUCAUACACAUACACAUACACAUGCACGUGUACACACACACACACACACACACACACACAUGAGUUUGCCCUGAGGCAGUAGUUUGAUGGGAUUUGGAGGGGAGGCAUAACUGCCUCUCCUUUCCUCCCUCCCUCCCUUGCUUCCAUUUCUCUGCCUCACAUCUUUCCACACAGUCCCUGAGGAGCCACGGAUGGAAAGGAGUGCAAGUAGGAACUCUACAUCCAAAUACCAAGAGCAGACAGGAGACCCUGCUGCUAACCUUGGGAGACCCCUCUGGAGGAACUUUGCCAUCAUUCCACACCUGGGGUUUCUGAAG